AUUACACAUAUCAGCCACGGACCAAAGAGUCAAAGGAUAAAAUCUUUCAAAGGCUUUUAGUAAAUAUUGUCAAAUUAUGUCCAAGAUGGCAUCAAUUUAAAGUUACUGGAUAGCUAAAAAAACAAAAGAUGUAAAUAAUUCUAUGAAGAAUAUUUUCAUACACAAAAAAUUUGGCCAAGUCUUAGGGCACGGUAAAAUUUAGGAAUGAAUAAAUAAAUAGACUUAGAACUUAUAUCUCAGCCCAGAAUAUUUAUUUUGGAUGUGUAAAAUGUUGUAGACAGGAAGAAUGGCAAAUACUAUGACUGGAAUUUUAACUAUGCUGCUCUGUGCCUUGAGCCAAUUUUUUGCUUACAUUCCCACACAUACCACAUUUCACUGAUUCUAAGCUGCACCAUUCCCCCCAUAUUAACACCUCUGAAGCACUGUGUCAGCUUAACUGACAGGAGCUUAUUCUUUCUUUGCAAUGCACAGAAUGAUGGUACCUUUAACAACUGAUGCCAUAUUGAUUUAAUGAAGCACAGUAAUUCUAGAUGGAAUACAAGAAUUACUGCUGCUCAUGUUUGUACGGGCCCAAUUCCCACUGCAUUUAGCACAAGCUGUGUACAAACUAUGGGGCCAGAAAUCAAACUAGUAACAGUGACAAAGGGUAAUGUACUGAAGACAGACUCAGGUCAAGUUGAACCUUUUAUCAGAUCGGAAGAGCACAGUCUGAACUC